rnacentral:misc_RNA from 2 species
AACGCAUAUGGCGCCUUGCGGGGCAACCCGGAAGGCAUGCCUGUUUGAGAAUCAUAUACACCACUUAUCUAUAUUUUAUCAUAUAGUCUUGUUGGGCCUUCAUCAGUGAUCGCCCGGAAAACCCGAAAUCCUGUUGUGUCAUGGAGCAAUCCGCUGCAACAGAAUCAAUUCUAUAAUGAUCUCAAAUCAGGCAAGACUACCCGCUGAACUUAA